rnacentral:lncRNA from 12 species
GUAGACGGCUUAUACAACACAGAUGCGGGAACUCGGGUACAAACAACACAUGGACAUCCUGAGAGCAGCUGGGGGACACACCCCCCUUUCUGUGUGUCCUUGGAGAAAGCCAGACAGGCAGAGGGAACAGCCCAUGCAAAGGCCCUGAGGUGAGAACAGGUCUGCCCUACGACAGGACCUCCAAGACCCCGUUGGGCUCUGAUUGGAAGGCACCAGGCAUCCGCGGGGUCACGUUGGCAGGCAUCACUCUUCCCUCGUCCAGUGGCCUCCCUGGAAACCAUCCCCUGCGGGACACAGGAUGUGAAAGAAGCUGCCCUUUCCAAGGAUGGAAAGAUGAGGAGUCACGGCCAGCCCAAGGCCGCUCACCUCGAGGGAAUGUCCAGCCCCCGGAUGCCCAGCCGCACGGGGCAGCUCCUCCAGCAGCUGAGAGCUCGGUCACCUGCAGAUCCAUCAGAGGCUGGCUGUGCAUUGGCCGAGGAGCAGGUGUCCCUGAGACCUGGCUGGCUCUGCCCAGGGAGGCACCUAGGCCAGAAUAUCAACAUCAAAGAAGUUGGUCUGGCAGAAAAUAUCAACUUCCAGAGACCCACGGGCCCAAAUCCCCUGGGCUGCAGCACUGGACACAUCUCCCCCUCGGCUUUGUGGAUGAGCUUGUUGAGACAUCAAAGUUUCAUGCUUUCCUAAAAAGAACGGGAACAGGUGUUGUAUUCUGGGUUAUCACAGGCUACAUGCUGUUGUUUUUCCCCUUGUCCAUAAUUUCUUUGCCUAAAAUGUAAAAGAUGGUGAAAACGUAUGAGGCCUCUCGGUUCCUCUGACUUAAAACUGCCUGACUUUGCUUUUGCAAGUGGUGCAAAUACAGGACACUUGUUUCCAUUUUGGUUUGAGCAAGGUGUUCUCAGACACCAGCCACGACCCCACGAACUGGCAAGUGGGAUUGAUGUGAUGAGCUCCAGGGCUGCCCUGCAGGAAACCAGGCGCCUGAGCCAACCCCUCAGGUUUUUUAAUGUAGGUGGGUCAUUUGGGGCCUUCAGGCUCCUCCCUGCUGCUCAGGUGAGGACCGCACACCACCAGGUACCACAGUCAGGUGGGGUCUGGAGCUGCCAGGGCCUCUCCACCGGCAGAUCCCCUGGAGCAGGAUAGCCCCCUGUGCUGGUGGUCCCAGCCCCCCAGCCUCAAACCCCAGUGCCCCAUGCUGUUUUAGGAUUUCAUUCCCCAUCCCAGGGGCCCCCAAUGGAAGUGGCCCUAGACAAGGACCCUUAAGCAGCCAAGGAGACCAGGUCCAUCUCCCCUAGAUAUCACGGGCCUGACCCCAGGAAGCACCUGCACCCCAGUCUGCAGCAGCCUCUCCUCUGCUUUCAGGGGGCCAAGGGCCAUCCGGUGUCCCCACUCGGAGCCUCUUGCAAAGGAAAGAUCAGCUGCCAGGGGAGCCCCAUGGCGGGGAGAGCCGUGUGGCCGUGAGGUAAUCAGCCCGCAACGUUAUUAUCAUUAUGCUGCUAAUUAAUUCCCAGCUCAUUACAUUUCCUGUGGCUAAUUUGUACUCGGGCUGAUUUGAUUAAACUCAUC